GACGAACGCUGGCGGCAUGCCUAAUACAUGCAAGUCGAGCGGAAUGACGAGAGCUUGCUCUCUGAUUUUAGCGGCGGACGGGUGAGUAACACGUGGGCAACCUGCCCUACAGAUGGGGAUAACUCCGGGAAACCGGGGCUAAUACCGAAUAAUCAGUUUGUCCGCAUGGACAAACUCUGAAAGACGGUUUCGGCUGUCACUGUAGGAUGGGCCCGCGGCGCAUUAGCUAGUUGGUGGGGUAAUGGCCUACCAAGGCGACGAUAGUUAUCCGGCCUAAGAGGGUGAACGGACACAUUGGGACUGAGAUACGGCCCAG
rnacentral:rRNA from 1 species